CGUAGGUGGCAAGCGUUAUCCGGAUUAUUGGGCGUAAAGAGAGUGCAGGCGGUUUCUAAGUCUGAUGUGAAAGCCUUCGGCUUAACCGGAGAAGUGCAUCGGAAACUGGAUAACUUGAGUGCAGAAGAGGGUAGUGGAACUCCAUGUGUAGCGGUGGAAUGCGUAGAUAUAUGGAAGAACACCAGUGGCGAAGGCGGCUACCUGGUCUGCAACUGACGCUGAGACUCGAAAGCAUGGGUAGCGAACAGGAUU
rnacentral:rRNA from 1 species